GACGAACGCUGGCGGCGUGCCUAAUACAUGCCAGUCGAGCGAGCGAAACUAACAGAUUUACUUCGGUAAUGACGUUAGGAAAGCGAGCGGCGGAUGGGUGAGUAACACGUGGGGAACCUGCCCCAUAGUCUGGGAUACCACUUGGAAACAGGUGCUAAUACCGGAUAAGAAAGCAGAUCGCAUGAUCAGCUUUUAAAAGGCGGCGUAAGCUGUCGCUAUGGGAUGGCCCCGCGGUGCAUUAGCUAGUUGGUAAGGUAAAGGCUUACCAAGGCGAUGAUGCAUAGCCGAGUUGAGAGACUGAUCGGCCACAUUGGGACUGAGACACGGCCCAAACUCCUACGGGAGGCAGCAGUAGGGAAUCUUCCACAAUGGACGCAAGUCUGAUGGAGCAACGCCGCGUGAGUGAAGAAGGUUUUCGGAUCGUAAAGCUCUGUUGUUGGUGAAGAAGGAUAGAGGUAGUAACUGGCCUUUAUUUGACGGUAAUCAACCAGAAAGUCACGGCUAACUACGUG
rnacentral:rRNA from 1 species